CAACAGGGAUUGCCUUAGUAACGGCGAGUGAAGCGGCAACAGCUCAAAUUUGAAAGCUGGCCCUUUUAGGGUCCGCGUUGUAAUCUGUAGAGGAUGGUUCGGCGAGGGCUCCCGCCUAAGUCCCCUGGAACGGGGCGUCAUAGAGGGUGAGAAUCCCGUAUGCGGUGGGCUGCUUUAGCCAUGUGAACCUCCUUCGACGAGUCGAGUUGUUUGGGAAUGCAGCUCUAAAUGGGAGGUAAAUUUCUUCUAAAGCUAAAUACCGGCCAGAGACCGAUAGCGCACAAGUAGAGUGAUCGAAAGAUGAAAAGCACUUUGGAAAGAGAGUUAAAAAGUACGUGAAAUUGUUGAAAGGGAAGCGCUUGCAACCAGACUUGUCCGCAGUUGCUCAGCCGGUCUCCUGACCGGCGUACUCUUCUGCGGCCAGGCCAGCAUCAGUUCGGGCGGUCGGAUAAAGGCCUCGGGAAUGUGGCUCCUCUCGGGGAGUGUUAUAGCCCGGGGUGGAAUGCGGCCAGCCUGGACUGAGGAUCUCGCUUCGGCAAGGAUGCUGGCGUAAUGGUUGUAAGCGGCCCGUCUUGAAACACGGACCAAGGAGUCUAACAUCUAUGCGAGUGUUUGGGUGUCAAACCCAUACGCGUAAUGAAAGUGAACGGAGGUGGGAACCCGCAAGGGCGCACCAUCGGCCGAUCCUGAUGUCUUCGGAUGGAUUUGAGCAAGAGCAUAGCUGUUGGGACCCGAAAGAUGGUGAACUAUGCCUGAAUAGGGUGAAGCCAGAGGAAACUCUGGUGGAGGCUCGCAGCGGUUCUGACGUGCAAAUCGAUCGUCAAAUUUGGGUAUAGGGGCGAAAGACUAAUCGAACC
rnacentral:rRNA from 1 species